UUCCCAGUUUCAAUGGGCACAGGAGAACCCUCAUUCAUUAAAUCAGGAAUAUCCAACUUGCUCAGCAUCCCAACUCCAGAAACAAAGAGCUGUAAGAGAGGUCUGUGCCUAAAUCACACGUUUACUACGAGGAAUUAACUGAAAGCACCUACAUGAAGACACCUGGAAACUAUAAAGAACUUCCUGGAAACUAUAAAGAACUGUAUAAUUAUAAGUUCACAAUCUACUGAAGAGCACAGUAAGCAUGACCUUUAAAAAGCUAUACGGUAAAUGUCAUGAGGGGAGAAGUACUGCACACAUGGGAGCCCAGAGCACGAGCAACUAGUCCAGACUUGGUAGAAGUGAGAGCACAGAAGGGUUUUCUAUAAACAUACUGCCUAAGACUGUAAAUGAAAACGAGACAGCACCUUGAGGACAAAAUGCACUUCAGUCAAAAUGAACGUUUUUGGAUCUGAUUUUACAACUAUGUAAAUUAAAAAGGUUCAGA